rnacentral:rRNA from 1 species
AGGACGAACGCUGGCGGCGUGCUUAACACAUGCAAGUCGAGCGGAAAGGCCCUUCGGGGUACUCGAGCGGCGAACGGGUGAGUAACACGUGAGCAACCUGCCCCUGGCUCUGGGAUAGCCUUCGGAAACGGGGAUUAAUACCGGAUAUUCACUGCUUCCUGCAUGGGGGGUGGUGGAAAGUUUUUCGGCUGGGGUGGGGCUCGCGGCCUAUCAGCUUGUUGGGGGGGUGACGGCCCACCAAGGCGACGACGGGUAGCCGGCCUGAGAGGGCGACCGGCCACUUUUUACGGGACUGAGACACGGCCCAGACUCCUACGGGAGGCAGCAGUGGGGAAUAUUGCGCAAUGGGCGGAAGCCUGACGCAGCGACGCCGCGUGCGGGAUGAAGGCCUUCGGGUUGUAAACCGCUUUCACCAGGGACGAAGCGAGAGUGACGGUACCUGGGGAAGAAGCGCCGGCUAACUACGCGCCAGCAGCCGC